CAAGUGGUCCGGGCAACCGCCGGCUUAGGCAGGUCUGACAGACUGGCCGAUGCCGGAGGAAAGUCCGAGCUCCACAGGGCAGGGUGCUGGUUAACAGCCAGUCGGCGCGAGCCGAAGGAAAGUGCCACAGAAAUGGACCGCCGAUGGGUACCUUCUGGUACCACAGGCAAGGGUGGAACCGUGAGGUAAGAGCUCACGAGAGAAUAUGGCGACAUAUUCUCUGGUAAACCCCACCCGGAGCAAGACCAGAUAGGGGAUCGAGACGCCUGUCGCGUCUAACCGUGGCCCGCGGUGAUCCCGGGUUGGUCGCUUGAGGUGUGCAGCAAUGCACAUCCCAGAUAGAUGGUUGCCGCUCCAGACGUGCGAGGGAUGAUCGCUCAUCCCGCUUGCAGCACUAGGAGUACAGAACUCGGCUUACAGGACCACUUGUCCA
rnacentral:RNase_P_RNA from 1 species